rnacentral:lncRNA from 1 species
UGAAAAAAUUGUGUGUAUUGAUCUGGAUUCUGCCCUCGAACAUUUUGCUGCCAACCAGAAUAUUAAGCAGGCUUAGACCUUGCGAGUCACACUGGGUUCCCACUUCACUCUGUAAACUGGAGAAGAGUUCAAGCAGAGCUCAAGGAACAUAUUUGGGAGCAUUUAUGAAAACACUGGGAAGAUGCUCUGAAGGUGUAACAAAGGCAUUGGACUGAGAAAGAAAGAGAGGGAUUCUUCUGACUGACUUUCAGCUUUUGCUGAAAUUGGUAAGUUUCUGCUUCUUUCCCCAGGCACUAAACUGAGUUCUGGCCACAUUCUGCUCGGACAGCUCAGAAAUAGGAUUUCCAAAGGAG